UACGGGGGGAGCAAGCGUUGUUCGGAUUUACUGGGCGUAAAGGGCGCGUAGGCGGUCAGCACAAGUCGGUGGCGAAAUCUCCGGGCUUAACUCGGAAAGGUCAACUGAUACUGUGCGACUAGAGUGCGGAAGGGGCAACUGGAAUUCUCGGUGUAGCGGUGAAAUGCGUAGAUAUCGAGAGGAACACCUGCGGCGAAGGCGGGUUGCUGGGCCGAUACUGACGCUGAUGCGCGAAAGCCAGGGGAGCGAACGGG
rnacentral:rRNA from 1 species